GGUUUCAGAGACAAUUCAACAUAGUGGCUCAUUUGUUCCUCGUCAGAAAUGAUAUCCUUUUUUUGUCUAUGGCUUAUCUCAAUCUUAACAGGGCACGCUUCUAGUGAGGGAAUAGCACCAGUCUCUCCUAAUGAAUUUGUCUCAGAAGGUAAAACAAUCACCCUGUCCUGCAAUUACACUGGAUCAGCUGCCACAGAUGCCCUUCAUUGGUACCGUCAAUACCCGAGAUCCAGGCCAGACUUCCUGUUUCUGGUUAAUGAAGCUAAAUUUAAGCAAUCAGCUGACCCUCCAAUUCCAGGAAUAUCUGCUAGAUUAAAUGAGGAGAAGAAUCGUGUGGAUCUGGAGAUCACUGGCACUGCAUUAACUGAUUCUGCUGUGUAUUACUGCGCCCUGCAGCCCACAGUGACAGGAAACAUGCAUGCACUGUACAAAAAUGAGACACAUUGAGAAUAGAGGCUGGAAUCUGUGUUCAUUGUCUCUGCUCAAUGGCCAGGAACUAUUGGAUGAUUAUCCAUGUUUGCAUUCAAGCAUUUU